GGCGGCAGGCCUAACACAUGCAAGUCGAACGGUAACAGGAAGAAGCUUGCUUCUUUGCUGACGAGUGGCGGACGGGUGAGUAAUGUCUGGGAAACUGCCUGAUGGAGGGGGAUAACUACUGGAAACGGUAGCUAAUACCGCAUAACGUCGCAAGACCAAAGAGGGGGACCUUCGGGCCUCUUGCCAUCGGAUGUGCCCAGAUGGGAUUAGCUAGUAGGUGGGGUAACGGCUCACCUAGGCGACGAUCCCUAGCUGGUCUGAGAGGAUGACCAGCCACACUGGAACUGAGACACGGUCCAGACUCCUACGGGAGGCAGCAGUGGGGAAUAUUGCACAAUGGGCGCAAGCCUGAUGCAGCCAUGCCGCGUGUAUGAAGAAGGCCUUCGGGUUGUAAAGUACUUUCAGCGGGGAGGAAGGGAGUAAAGUUAAUACCUUUGCUCAUUGACGUUACCCGCAGAAGAAGCACCGGCUAACUCCGUGCCAGCAGCCGCGGUAAUACGGAGGGUGCAAGCGUUAAUCGGAAUUACUGGGCGUAAAGCGCACGCAGGCGGUUUGUUAAGUCAGAUGUGAAAUCCCCUGGCUCAACCUGGGAACUGCAUCUGAUACUGGCAAGCUUGAGUCUCGUAAAGGGGGGUAGAAUUCCAGGUGUAGCGGUGAAAUGCGUAAAGAUCUGGAGGAAUACCGGUGGCGAAGGCGGCCCCCUGGACGAAGACUGACGCUCAGGUGCGAAAGCGUGGGGAGCAA
rnacentral:rRNA from 1 species